CUAGGGCAAACAGCGGCCUAUUCGACUAAGAUGAUGGAUCCAUGGGGUCAAAAAAGCCAGAAGCAGGGCUGGAGAAGUACCUUUCAUGUCCAUUCACUGGAGGUGUGGAUCUAUUGCAUGGCAUUCCUCACAUCAAGAAGCUGUUGAUCAAAAUCAAUACAGCUCUUCCUGCAUCUGGAGCUUGUGAAGGACUUCUCAGUCAUGCAGGACUCCUGUUCACUGCUAAACAGUUACAGCUUCACAGAAAGAACCUUGAGAGCAAACUGCUGCUGAAGCUUAACCAUCACCUUACUGAGUCAUGAAAUGGCACAUUUUUGCUAAAUAUGCAGAAAUAAAUGCACACCCAUACAAUUUAUGGUAAACUGAGCUCCCUUGUAUGUACAUGAGGAAGAUGUCUCGUUCUGUUUUCUCUGAGGCUACUGUGCCAUUUGGAACAAAAAUGAAUAUAAAGUUUACAGCAUAUCUUGUCACUGGAAAUUGUUUGCAUUGUUUGACCAUUUAAAGAAACCGAAUUUUGAGGUACUGUUGAGUCCACUUCCCUUCUCAAAGGUGUCUAAUUCCUACCUCUGGUAUUUACCUAGUAAUAUUGCCAUAAAACCAUGGAAAGUGAGGGCUGCAGAACAGAAGCCAACUUACACGAGGAACAGGCCGGUUGUGUAUUUUAGGACCCCACGGACAUUACUGCCGCUCUGAGUUCGGUGACGUCAGAGCGGUCUGCCGAUAUUUGCGGGUUAAGAAAGAUGGCGGCUGAGAAGAGCAGGUUGAAACAGCGGAGUCAUAAAAGCAGCAUAUUUAAAGAAGAGAAACUUGCCUAUAUCUAAUCGGGAAUGGCUGAUAGAGCCAGGACGCGGAGAGGAGGGCCAGGAUUUACUUUCCAAAACCACGACUGUUUCAAACUGACAGCAUGAGGUGUUCUGCAGUAAACUGGAUUAACCGACAGAAGGACCAGAGGCCUAACUGCACUUUUUCGGAGCCGCCCUCAGCACCACCCAGAAAACAACAACAGAAAAAUCAUGUUAUGUGUUCACUCUUGAUGAACACACUAUUCAUGACAUGUUGGGUUUGUCCAUCUUAUUGGCCGAGCAGAUAGUGGAGGUCUGAAGACUUCCCUCUGAGGGAGCUGCUGGUGAAGAUUAUGAGUCCUGUUUGAUCCCUGCGAUGAGCGUCAGUCCUCCUGAUGUCACAAAAAUAAUGUCUUUCUCAGUGGGUCAACAGAACAUCUGGCACAGGACAGGUGUGAUUUAUAAAAUAAUAAAAAAUAAAAUAAUAAGCAUGAAGCUUCUCCUAACCUUUGGACCCAGAGAACCGCCUUGGCCCUGCCUCCAGGGUGAAUCUGUUGAUUAUGUGGACUCUGGAUCAUGUUAUAAAAUUAGAAGAAGUAAUCACACUUCUGUGAAACCUUCUGCUGCUGUGUUUUUCAAUCUAACAUUUUAUUCAAACAAAGUGCUUUGAGAGUGUAUAAUGUAUCUAAAACUGUUUAAAUCUUCAGUUUUAUAACACCUAAGUCUUAUGUUAAAAUCUGAAAGGAUAGCAUUAACAGUAAAAAACCAAAAAAACAAACAAACUUUAAACCACAUUUUUUAGAGUCUCAGCAGCUGAAUAACAGUUAUUAAGAUUAUUUUAAACUGAACCUAGAAUUGAACACAAGGUCUUGAAUAAUCAGGUCCCAUCUUAAUGGCCUUAUAGCACCAUAUCACCCCAUUAGAGCACUUUGCUCUCAGACUGCUUACUUGUGGUUCCUUCAGUAUUUAAAAGUAGAAUGGGAGGCAGAGCCUUCAGUUUUCAGGCCCCUCUUCUGUGGAUUCAGGAGACAGACACUAUUUCUACUUUUAAGAUUAGACUCAAAAUAUUUUUUUUUCCUUUUUUUAAUAAACAUAUUGUUAGGGCUGGAUCAGGUGAUCCUAAAUAUUUCCUUAGUUACAUUGCAAGGUCUAGGCUGCUGGGAGGUUCCCAUGAGCAAAUGCAGUCAAAAUUGUAGAAGAAACUGAGUGUUUCUUCUUCAGUUGCCCUUUUCACUUUGUUUAUACACCUCUGCAUUUCGUUAUUAUUUAUUAUAAAUCUCUGGCUCUCUUCAAUAGCUUGUCCUUUCCCUGUCUUCUUCCCCUUACCCUAACUGGUCAGGGGGCCAGAUGGCUGCCCCCUGUGAGCCUGGUUCUGCUGGAGGUGUCUUCCUGUUAAAAGGGAGUUUUUUUCCUUCCUACUGUUGUCAACGCACUGGCUCAUAAGGGGUUGUUGAGCAAGCUUUUUGGGGUUUUCUCUGUUGUGUUAUUAUAGGGUUGUGGGAUCUUUACCUUACAAUAAGGCAACUGCUGUUUUGAUUUGGAACUAUAUGAAUAAAACUGAAUUGGAAUUGGAAAAGUGUCUGUGUUUUGGAGGUAUUGGCCAUUUCUCAUAUUUAUAACAUUUAUUAGAGAUUAUAUUGUUGUCACCGACCCCACCCCCUUUUUUUUUUUUGUUUGUUUGUUUGUUUGUUUGUUUGUUUGUUUGUUUCUCGUGAGAAGUCAUGUAUUUGAUCAAUUUGUAAUGACAAUAAGAAUAUUGUAUGUAAAAUUUGUCUUGGAAUGCUUCCAAUUGUAAAAAUUUACCAUUGUCAUGGUGAUUAAUAAAAAUACCAUUAUCAUGAAA